AUGUAUUUAUUCUUUAAUGUUAAUUUUGUAGCAAUUUGUGUGACUCCCAUCAGGAUUUCUUGCAGGACCAGUCUAGUGGUAAUGAAUUCCCUCAGCUUUUGUUUUUCUGUAAAUGUCUUAAUUUCUCUUUCACUAUUUUUCUUUUCCUUUUUUUUUGAGACAGUCUUUUUUUUUUUUUUUUUGAGACGGAGUUUCGCUCUUGUUACCCAGGCUAGAGUGCAAUGAUGUAAUCUUGCCUCAAUGCAAUCUCUGCCUCCCACGUUCAAGCUAUUCUGCCUUAGCCUUCCAAGUAGCUGGGAUUACAGGUGCAGGCCACCAUGCCCAGCUAAUUUGUAUGUUUUGUCUUUGAAAGGGGGUCUUGCUCUGUUAUCCAGGCUGGAGUGCAGUGGUGUGAUCUUGGUUCCCUGCCACCUCCACCUCUUGGGUUCAAGCGAUUCUGCCUCAGCCUCCUGAGUAGCUGAGAUUACAGGCAUUCACCAUCAUACCCAGCUAAUUUUUGUAUUUUUAGUAAAGACAGGGUUUUACCAUGUUGGCCAGGCUGGUCUUGAUCUCCUGACCUCAGGUGAUCCACCUGCCUUGGCCUUCCAAAGUGUUGGGAUUACAGGCAUGAACCACCAUGCUCAGCAUCAUUUAACUUUCUGAGAAGCUGCUAAACUGUUUUCCAAAAAUGACUGCACCAUUUUAUAGUCCCACCAGAAUGUGUGAGGGUUCUGACUUCUCCACAUCUUUGUCAACACUUGUUGUCUGUCCCUUUAAUUACAGCCAUCCUAGAGGGUGUGAAGUGGUAUCUCUUUAUGGCUGAUUUGCACUUCCCUUAUGAUUAAUGAUUACUAUUUUCUUGAGACAGGGUCUUGCUGUGUUUCCCAGGCUGGAAUGCAAUAGCGUGAAUAGGGCUCACAGCAACCUCAACUUCCUAGGCUCAAGCAAUCAUAGCUGGGACUACAGGCAUACAACGCUAUGCUCUACUAGUUCUUAAAAUUUUUUCAAGUAUCAGCUUUUUUUUUGAUAUGGAGUUUUGCUCCUGUUGCCCUGGCUGGAGUGCAAUGGCAUGAUCUCAGCUCACUGCAACCUCCACCUCCCAGGUUUAAGCGAAUUUCCUGCUUCAUCCUCCCAAGUAGCUGGGAUAGCUAGGAUUACAGGCAUGUGCCAUCACACCCGACUAAGUAAAGACAGGGUUUCUCCAUGUUGGCCAAGGUGGUCUUGAACUCCUAACCUCAGGUGAUCCACUUGUCUCAGCCUCCCAAAGUGCUGGGAUUACAAGCGUGAGCCACUGUGCCCAGCCUCAAGUGUCUGCUUUCGGUGAAGAAAAAAAAAACUUUUUUUUCUUGUAGAGAUGGGGUGUUGUCUGUCAUGUUGCCCAAGCUGGUCCUGAACUCCUGGGUUAGGUGAUCCUCCCACCACAGACAGUCACCCAAAGUGCUGGGAUUAUAGAUGUAAGCUACCACACCAAGCCACUUUUUAUGUUUGUUUUUUGUGAAGGAGUCUCACUCUGUUGCCCAGGCUGGAGUGCAGUGACACCAUCUCAGCUCACUGCAACCUCCGCCUCCCAGGCUCAAGUGAUUCUCCUGCCUCAGCCUCCACAGUAGCUGGGACAACAGGCGCACACCACCACGCCCAUCUAAUUAUUGUAUUUUUAGUAGAGAUGGGGUUUCACCGUAUUGGCCAGGCU
ensembl:lncRNA